CGGGCAGCGGGCGCAGAAGAUCCUAUGAUUGCUGAGCCAGAGAUCCUGUGAAGGCACCUCCUGGAACCCUCGCCGUUCUGCUGGCUCGGUGUCCGGUAAAGUGAAGCCUACGUGUUUGGAAAUAUUGACCCACAGCGCUCAGCUCCUAAUCCCCAGCAGGCGGAGCAGUGGACUUCCAUUCUUUUAGUCAUAGGCCAACCGGUCUGGAGACCUUAGUGGCUGCAUUGCAAUGGAGUGGCUGAGAGAAAACCUUUGAAAAUAACUCCUACUUUCUUAAGAUGCCUGAAGGUGACAGCUCUGCACCUGUCAUGGAGGGUGAAUUCAUCCCCAGGCAGUACUUGAACUUCACGAGUUUCACAUCGUGCAGUAACCUUAGCAAUUUUCUUCUGGAAAAGAGAUCAAGACUAGAAACCUGGCAUAGGUAACACAUAUAUACAGAUGCAUUUUAAGAAUCUGAAACUCCUGCUGACGCUUGCCUGAAGUUCCAGCUACUCAGGAGGCUGGGACAGGAGGAUCACUUGAGUCCCAGAGUGCCAGGUGUGCCUGAGCAACGUAGAAUGACCCCAUCUCAAACAACAACGAAACACUUAAGAUCUGUUUCAUGAUAUUUGUGAGAUAUAUCUUUGCCCUCAAACCUAUUUAAACCCACCUUAGCGUGUGUUUGAUUUUUAUUUACCAUGACUAAUAAGGACAUUUAUGCAGUAAUAAUGAAACAUAAUAAAACAUGGGUGUGGUACUGGGCCUGUCAUUAAA